rnacentral:rRNA from 1 species
AGAGUUUGAUCAUGGCUCAGAUUGAUACGCUGAGCGGUAUGGCUGCUAAUCACAUGGCAGCUACGUCGAGCGACGUAGAGAGAAGCUUGCUUCUCUUGAGAGCGGCGGACGGGUGAGUAAUGCCUAGGAAUCUGCCUGGUAGUGGGGGAUAACGCUCGGAAACGGACGCUAAUACCGCAUACGUCCUACGGGAGAAAGCAGGGGACCUUCGGGCCUUGCGCUAUCAGAUGAGCCUAGGUCGGAUUAGCUAGUUGGUGAGGUAAUGGCUCACCAAGGCGACGAUCCGUAACUGGUCUGAGAGGAUGAUCAGUCACACUGGAACUGAGACACGGUCCAGACUCCUACGGGAGGCAGCAGUGGGGAAUAUUGGACAAUGGGCGAAAGCCUGAUCCAGCCAUGCCGCGUGUGUGAAGAAGGUCUUCGGAUUGUAAAGCACUUUAAGUUGGGAGGAAGGGCAUUAACCUAAUACGUUGGUGUCUUGACGUUACCGACAGAAUAAGCACCGGCUAACUCUGUGCCAGCAGCCGCGGUAAUACAGAGGGUGCAAGCGUUAAUCGGAAUUACUGGGCGUAAAGCGCGCGUAGGUGGUUCGUUAAGUUGGAUGUGAAAUCCCCGGGCUCAACCUGGGAACUGCAUUCAAAACUGACGAGCUAGAGUAUAGUAGAGGGUGGUGGAAUUUCCUGUGUAGCGGUGAAAUGCGUAGAUAUAGGAAGGAACACCAGUGGCGAAGGCGACCACCUGGACUGAUACUGACACUGAGGUGCGAAAGCGUGGGGAGCAAACAGGAUUAGAUACCCUGGUAGUCCACGCCGUAAACGAUGUCAACUAGCCGUUGGGAGCCUUGAGCUCUUAGUGGCGCAGCUAACGCAUUACAGUGUGAUCCGCCCUGGGGAGUCACGAUGCG